rnacentral:misc_RNA from 1 species
CUUACGUAAGUGUCUAGCCCUGCUGGCUGCUCAGUUCUGUGUAUGUGUGUGUGGUUGGGAUGAUGAGAGUCUGAUUAGACAACGGGUCAACCUGUCUAGUUGUCUGAGAGAGAGGAUGAGUUAUGUGGGCGUGGCAGAAGAGGAGGGCGGAGAACCUACGGAACUACCAGUAGAGGAGGAUGGUACAGUUCUCCUGACUACUCUUGCCGCCCAGUUUCCUGGAGCAUGUGGUCUCAAGUUCAGAAAUCCUGAUACUAGAGCCUGGAGAGGGAUUAGAUUAGCAGAUGGAAGAUUGUUUCCUCCUGCAGAUACAGGGUGGGGAAAUCUUAUUUGUAUUGCUGUUAUUCCUAAAUUAGAAAAUGUUGAGAAGCUACGCAAGUCGGAGGAUACGGGAGAUAUGAACGGACGGAGUAAACGAAAUGAUCGCAGUAAAUGUUCGGAUCUAAUUGUUCUGGGAUUACCUUGGAAAACAUCGGAACAAGAACUUAGAGAAUAUUUUGAACCAUUCGGUGAGGUUCUCAUGGCGCAGGUUAAAAAAGAGAUAAAAACCGGACAGUCUAAAGGAUUUGGAUUUAUAAGAUUCUCUAGUUAUGAAGCUCAGAUGCGUGUUCUAGCUCAACGACAUAUGAUUGAUGGACGAUGGUGUGAUGUUAAAAUACCAAACAGUAAAGAAGGGCAGGUUCAGCAGGUUCCUUGUAAGGUGUUUGUUGGUCGAUGCACUGAGGAUAUGGCCGCAGAGGAUUUAAAGGAAUACUUUGCAAAGUUUGGAGAAGUCACAGAUGUUUUUAUUCCAAAACCAUUCAGAGCUUUCUCAUUCAUCACAUUUCUUGAUCCGGAGGUUGCGCAAUCUUUGUGUGGGGAAGAUCAUAUAGUAAAAGGAGUAUCUGUUCAUGUAUCAAAUGCUGCUCCUAAAACGGAUCCAACCCGCCAGCAUGCUGGCUUCCCCAGGGUUCCGGUUCAGGGCAGGGACAAGGGACAGAGCCCCUUCGGUCCCCAGCCCCCUUACGGGAAUGGUGGGGCCAUGGGCGUAGGAGGAGGAGGGGGCCAAGGAUGGAAUACAGGAGCUGGACAAUCCAGCAAUAAUCCUAUCCCUGGUCUUCACGGUCUAAACCUGGGUCCUAUGCCGGUCAAUCCAGCUCUAGUAGCUGCUGCACUGAACCAGGCUAGCUGGGGUUUGAUAGGUAAUCUACAGGCUCAGGGAGGUCAAACCCCUGGAGAACAUAGUUUCCAACCUCCUACCAGCUCAUUUCUUCCUGUCACAGCUUCAGCAGGGGGACCUGGUACUCCAAUAGGAGCUCCUACAGGACCGGGAGCAGCUCAUAUAACAACGGUUACCAGUACAGGACCACCUGCUAACUCACCAGCCUUUCUUACAGGUGGAGUAAGCGGAGUAGGAGGUUGGGGUGGAGAAGGAGGUGGAGUUCCUGGUGGUACUCCUGCCCAGGGAGCUGCUGCAGGGACAUGGUCCUCUCAACCUAGAGAUAGACAAGGCUGGAAGAAUUAUGAUAUGUGAGGGAGCUGAGGCAUACCGGUUCCAGAGAGAGAUCAUUUUCAUUGAUCAAAUGCCUAAUGAUCAUUAAAAUAAUCAAUUUCUUAAUGAUCAUUUGUAGUCGUUGGAUCAACCUUUGCUUUGUUUUCCUUGAUCAUCUUUAGGAUUAACUAAAGGUUUAAAAUCAUCUUAAGCUUUAGAGUCAUCUUCAGCUUUAGAAUCAUCUUCAGCUUUGGAAUCAUCUUCAGCUUUGGAAUCAUCUUCAGCUUUAGAAUCAUCUUAAGCUUGAGAAACAUCUAUAAGCUUUGGAAUCGUCUGAAAACUCAGAAUUAUCCAUAGCUUUGGGAUUAUCAUAUCACUAAGAAGGUAUUUUGCUGGAGAAAUAAAUAACGCCCUUUGCUGCAAGAUAUCCUCAAGAUGAUCCCCCAAGUUCUUAUGAUCAAUGAUCAUACAAUUGAUCCAUCCAAAUCAGAAAACACCAUCUUCAAAUUAUCAAAAUUGUCUGUUAUUUUGAAUUCGUCUUUAAUUGCAUCCUUUAAUUGAUCAAGUUUGAGUUUGUUUAUUUUCUGUUAAAAGUUAAUCAAGGCGAUUCAAUUAACUAUUUUAAGCCUUCUUGCAGUGCUUAGGAUCUAGAUCCGUUAGAUCGGCACUAUUUUGACUCCGUGGAACCGGAUCCAAAGGGAAAAGGCGGUUAAAAAAGAUAGCUCUCAAAAUAUAAUUCUUAUUUGUUAACUUUUUAGAGAUUAAUUAACACUGUCUAAUCUCUGAAUGGCUUAUUUUGUUUCAGCACGAAAAUACGCAAAAAAAAGCAAAGCAAUUGUGGGAAAAAUUUUGUUUUAUGAAAUUUUCACUAUGGAGGACGAGGAUCCGGAUCCGGUUUUAGAUCCAGGUCCAUUUUUUAGGACGAAUCCAGGAUCCGCAUGAACAUGAAAUGGAUCCUAAGCACUGCCUUGUUGUAUGAAUUGUAACCUGUAAACCCCAGCUGUAUAUCAUGAUUAUUCAAAUAUCCAGCUGAUAUGUGCUUGAGAACGAAAAGAUCCUUGAAUGCUUAAAUUUAGAGUAUUUCAAGUAUGUUGAAUGCCUGAUUUAAUAAUUGUAUGUAAGAACCUGUAUACAUUAAUGUCAAAUAUUAAUUGUAUUGAAUGUUAUUAUAAUAUCCCUAGUUCUAUACCUCCUUGGUCUCGACUCCAACAGUAUGUAAAUAGUAAAUGCUUAACAGCACUCUAAACUUGUUGUUUUCUCUAUAUAAAGUUUAUUAGUCAAUAUUUCAAUAAUUACACACCAGAUGUACACAGUGUACCAUACGCCAGAUUGUACACUGUACUUUUCUUUAUGUACUGUAUUUACACCAGUCUUACACAGUGUACUCUUCUGUAUGUACUGUAUAAUUAAAGCAUGUCUCUCUUAUUUAAAUAUUAUAAACUAACCCCCCUCUCUCCAUUAAAAUUCAAUCUUCAAAUAUCAACCCCUUUUAUUUCCACUAAACUGUAAAAAAAAUGUUCUAAAAAAUGUUAAAUAAGCAUGUUUCAAUGUGUAUAUCUGUACAUAUCUCAUUAUUUAUUUGGAACCUUUAUUAUGUAACGUACAUGAGAACUAACAGAAAUAACAACCUGUAUUCGUUUCACCCUGAAUUCGUUACAUACUUCAGAACACACUUUAUUCUUUACAUACUUCAGAACACACUGUAUUCUAUACAUUUUUCAGAACACACUGUAUUCUAUACAUUUUUCAGAACACACCGUAUUCGUUACAUUCUUUAGGACACCCUAAAUUCGUUACUUACUUCAGAACACUCUGUUUUUGUUACAGACUAAAGCACAUCUUGUUAACAGAAAUAAUAAACUCUACAGUUUUCAGCUGUUCAUUGUUCAUGUUCAACCUAGUAACGUGACUUACAACUGUACAAUUUACAACAUUUUUACUGUUCAUUUGUACACCUGAACACCUAUAAAUAUGUUAACUUGUACACCUGCACACAUGUAAACAUGUAUUCCUGUACACCUGUUCACCUCAUGUACAGAUAUACACAUGUACAUCUGUACACAUAUACACAUGUACAACUUUUGUACAUCUGUACAUCUGUUCAUCUGUACCUCUGUCAUUAAUCUGUACACAAACAUUUAAAGCUUAGUUAAAUAUUCCUAAUUCAAAAAUUUGCAUCGAAUUUAAUAAAAAUUAAUAUAAUAUAAAAAUAA